rnacentral:rRNA from 1 species
CCUGACUGCUAUCGGAUUGAUACUAAGCCAUGCGAGUCUUUGUAGCAAUACAAGGCAUACGGCUCAGUAACACGUAGUCAAUCUACCCUAUGGACGGGGAUAACCUCGGGAAACUGAGAAUAAUACCCGAUAGAUCAUUAUGCCUGGAAUGGUUUAUGAUCCAAAUGAAUUUCGCCAUAGGAUGGGACUGCGGUCUAUCAGCUUGUUGGUGAGGUAAUGGCCCACCAAGGCUAUAACAGAUACGGGCUCUGAGAGGAGAAGCCCGGAGAUGGGUACUGAGACACGGACCCAGGUCCUAUGGGGCGCAGCAGGCGAGAAAACUUUGCAAUGUGCGAAAGCACGACAAGGUUAAUCCGAGUGUUUCCUGCUAAAGGAAUCUUUUGUCAGUCAUAACACCACUAACGAAUAAGGGGUGGGCAAGUUCUGGUGUCAGCCGCCGCGGUAAAACCAGCACCUCAAGUGGUCAGGAGGAUUAUUGGGCCUAAAGCAUCCGUAGCCGGCUUUGUAAGUUUUCGGUUAAAUCCAUAUGCUCAACAUAUGGGCUGCCGGGAAUACUGCACAGCUAGGGAGUGGGAGAGGUAGACGGUACUCCAUAGGAAGGGGUAAAAUCCUUUGAUCUAUGGAAGACCACCUGUGGCGAAGGCGGUCUACCAGAACACGUUCGACGGUGAGGGAUGAAAGCUGGGGGAGCAAACCGGAUUAGAUACCCGGGUAGUCCCAGCUGUAAACUAUGCAAACUCGGUGAUGCAUUGGCUUGUGGCCAAUGCAGUGCCGCAGGGAAGCCGUUAAGUUUGCCGCCUGGGAAGUACGUACGCAAGUAUGAAACUUAAAGGAAUUGGCGGGGGAGCACCACAAGGGGUGAAGCCUGCGGUUC